AGCUUAAGUAAGUGUUUGAGUGCAAAUCAAAUGGCGGUCCAAAAGUGUGGCCCUUAGGCUU
rnacentral:tRNA from 1 species